CCUACGGGUGGCAGCAGUGGGGAAUAUUGGGCAAUGGGCGCAAGCCUGACCCAGCAACGCCGCGUGAAGGAAGAAGGCUUUCGGGUUGUAAACUUCUUUUCUCAGGGACGAAGCAAGUGACGGUACCUGAGGAAUAAGCCACGGCUAACUACGUGCCAGCAGCCGCGGUAAUACGUAGGUGGCAAGGGUUAGCCGGAUUUACUGGGUGCAACGGGCGUGUAGGCGGGAAAGCAAGGCAGAUGUGAAAACCAGGGGCUCAACCUGUGGCCUGCAUUUGAAACUGUUUUGCUUGAGUACGGGAGAGGCAGGCGGAAUGCGUGGGGUAGCGGUGAAAUGCGUAGAUAGUAGGAGGAA
rnacentral:rRNA from 1 species